rnacentral:lncRNA from 1 species
UUUUUUAUUUUAAAUAACCCCUCCAUCAGAACAGUUAUUUCUUACAUUUAAAUCUCAGAUGAACUCUGUAAAUCAUUCACAAAAAUAUAUUCUUAAACUUGUAGCAAAGUAUAAAACUAAAGACUAUGACAGCCAAUAUAUGCAGCUAUACUUCCAAAUACCAAUUACAAAACAAAAUAAGCAAUAGAUAAGUCAUUUUAAAGAAACUUAAAGUUCAUGAUUAAUAUUCUGGUUUCUUAAUUCAGUUCAGAUAUUUUAUCAGACUAAGAUGUACAUAUUUUAACAAAACAUAUGAACCAAUUUAACAGGAAUUUAGAAGUAAAUUGUUUUUGACCUGAUUCCCAUAAAUGGUCAUUUAACUCCUAUUAUACAAUCCACAGGUGGUUACACUUCGUGAAACAAACUUUCAAGGAAGCUCACUAGAUGGUGGAAGACCAAAUCUUUAAACUCUUAUCUCUGAAGUAAAUUCAAGGACAGUAUCUUUGUAAGAUUUGGAAUUUCUUUUGGUAUAAUUGAUUUUUUAUACUUUCACACAAUACUCAGUAGAUAUUUACUGCCUAGGCACUGUGUGCCAAACUCAGGACUAUUUAUAAUAGAGGUAAAGAGGUCUGAACUAAACAACAACCAAUUGCUUAAAGGCUUCAGUUUACUAACGGAGAAGAAAGGUAUCAACUGGAUGUUGUGCUAAGCAUUUUUGAUACGCAUCUCAUUGAAUCUUUGCAACAAUCUAUGCAAUAGGUAACCCUUAGCACAGGUGAAGAAACUGGCUCAGGGAAACUCAGUAACUUGUGAAGCGCACCCAAUUAGUGAAUGGCGGGACCAGGAAUAGAGCCCUUCAUUGCAUGGCUUUAGGCCUGUGCUUUAAUAGCCCACUAAAAGAUUCUGGUGCUGCAACUCAGGGUGGCAUGGGAGUUGGUGUCACAAAGGAGGUGACAUUUCAAGUGCAUCUCCAAAUAAGCUGUGUUCAGGCAGUUGUGGCAGGGAGAAAAGGUUGGGUAGAGGGAUAGCACAAUUAAGUAUGUUAUAGGCAGGUCCUGUGGAGCAGGUCCAAAGAUGUGAAAGAAAAUGGUAUGUUUGCUGAAAUGCUGAUGGUAAGAAGAAUGCCUGGGGUGGGAUAUGACACUACAUAGGUUGGUCGGUGUGCCCUGCAGGGGUCUUGUGUACUAUUUAGAGUCUAUCCUUUAGGAGUGGAGUGGAAAGGCCUUAAGAGGUUUUAAGCAGAGUGAGCUGUCAAAUUUGUCCUUUAAGAGGUAACUCUGUCAAAGAGAUUUGGAAGAAGUUGGAUUGGAGGGUGGGUGGUGAGGGCUGGUGGUGGUGGUUGUGCUGGUUGUAGGGAAACUGGAGGCAGGGAGCCCACUGCCUUGUUCUCUGAGAGGGUCAGAAAAUGAGAGACUAAAAGCUACGGAAGGGGAGUAGAGAGAUCGGACAGAUAUGAAGCAUACCUUAAAAUAUUGAUGCCAUUUGAAUGUGGAGAGGAAAGGAGGUGAGUGAGAGGGAGGAAUCUGGAUGGAAUAAUCCUCAGACUCUUAAAUUAGGGAGUAGGAAGGGGGAUGCCCAUUCCCUGAUGGGACUCUAUGAGAAGGAGCAAUCGGGGAUGGAGAAGUAAUGAAUUCAGUUUCAGAUGUGAUGAGCUUGGGGUGACUGCGAGUCAGGCCACUGGGAGACCGUCAAGUGGUGGGGGAACAUAGCUGGGAUGUCACUAUUUCAUGAAUGGUCUCACUCAAUAGCCACCCUUUACUUUUUGUCCUUACCCUGCCUUGCCUGUAAGUCACCAAGCCCUGUCAAUUCUACCUCCUUAAUAUUUCUUUAAUUUCAUUUAUGUAAAUCUCUGGAUUGGUCAUUUGGAUUAGUAGUACAAUGCCAAAUAUCCGUGAACACCUUAGUACUUCUACAAGGCCCCUCAAAACCAGACAUUCUUCAGCUUUAUCCCUCUUGACACUACUCCAUGUAGCGCCUACACUCCAGCCAUAUGGAAGCAGCUGCAGUUCCCAAGAGAUUGUGUUCUCUCUUGAUUCUGCAUCCAAGCACAAAGACAUGUCUCCAACCCCAACUCUCAUCUCUGGCUGCACACCAGGGAGAGGCAAUGAUGAGUAAGACAAGACUGACCUUCCAGGAGUAGCUAGUAGACAAUCAGAAAAUUGUGGCUCAACUAGUCAUCUUUAUGUCCCUUCUUUGAGGUUUACUGACAGCAAAAACCAGGUCCCAGGAUACUCAUUUAAAUUAAGUUAGCAAUCCUAUUGCAGAGAAUCUGGUGGGUUACUUAGUCGUUACAUUAAGAUAAUGUUUCAAGUACUCCUGUUGUUCUAUCCUACUGAGAAUUGAGGCAUCAUUGUUAAAUAAAAAACUGUUUGGUAGAAUGCUGCAAUAAAUAUUUAUGAAAAAGUAUCUGUGUAUCAAUUUCUCUUGUUCUUGCCUGUAUCUCACUACUCUAGUAGACCAGAUGUAUGGAGCAACCAGUAGCUGAGAGACUGAAAUUAGUGAAAAUAUAAGAGUAGUUCUAUUAUGUACCCCAUAAUACAUAAAAUAUAUAUGUAAAAAGUUAAAGGAGCUUUAUUAUGAAGGAAACUAUAAGUAAGGAAAACAAAAUGUAUAAUAAAAUAUUCUGCUUUAUGCUCAGAAUUCUAAAAAUGUCUUGGCUGUAGGUUGGAUUAUCUGCAAUUGCUUCAUCACCAUCCAAUACAUACAAAGUGAAAUUACUUAUGGGCAGAAAUACACUUUAAAAUGUCAUUUGGUAAAGGCAACUUUUUAUUCAGGAUGGACCAAAAACAUUUAUAAUUUACUUCUUGUUUAAGUAGCCAGUUCAGAAUAAGCCAAAAUUAUCCCAGAGAGUUGUUUAAAAAUAGGCUGUUAUUUGAACUGUCAUCACCCCCUGAAUUGGAAGAUAAACAUUCUUCUUGUCAAGAUUUCUUAUUCAAGGAAGAAGAAAGUAAACAGUGUGCAACCCAAAUCUUGCUUAACAGAAUGAUUUAUCUUCACGGAAUUUCCAUUGUCGCUCAGCACAUAAAGAACUUGAUUAGUACAUGAGGCGGCAGGUUCCAUCCCUGGCCCUACUCAGUGGGUUAAGAAUCCAGCAUUGCCCUGAGCUGUGGUGUAGGCUGACGGCUACAGCUCCAAUUAGACCCCUAGCCUGGGAACUUCCAUGUGCCCCGGGUG